UACGGGGGGGGCAAGCGUUGUUCGGAAUUACUGGGCGUAAAGGGCGCGUAGGCGGUUUGCUAAGUUGGAUGUGAAAACUCUGGGCUUAACCCAGAGCCUGCAUCCAAAAACUGGCAAACUUGAGUACUGGAGGGGAAAGCGGAAUUCCUGGUGUAGCGGUGAAAUGCGUAGAUAUCAGGAGGAACACCGGUGGCGAAGGCGGCUUUCUGGACAGUAACUGACGCUGAGGCGCGAAAGCUAGGGGAGCAAACAGG
rnacentral:rRNA from 1 species